rnacentral:rRNA from 1 species
GAUUGAACGCUGGCGGCAUGCCUUACACAUGCAAGUCGAACGGUAACAGGUCUUCGGAUGCUGACGAGUGGCGAACGGGUGAGUAAUACAUCGGAACGUGCCCGAUCGUGGGGGAUAACGAGGCGAAAGCUUUGCUAAUACCGCAUACGAUCUACGGAUGAAAGCGGGGGAUCUUCGGACCUCGCGCGGACGGAGCGGCCGAUGGCAGAUUAGGUAGUUGGUGGGAUAAAAGCUUACCAAGCCGACGAUCUGUAGCUGGUCUGAGAGGAUGAUCAGCCACACUGGGACUGAGACACGGCCCAGACUCCUACGGGAGGCAGCAGUGGGGAAUUUUGGACAAUGGGCGAAAGCCUGAUCCAGCCAUGCCGCGUGCAGGAUGAAGGCCUUCGGGUUGUAAACUGCUUUUGUACGGAACGAAAAGCCUCUUUCUAAUAAAGAGGGGUCAUGACGGUACCGUAAGAAUAAGCACCGGCUAACUACGUG